CCUACGGGUGGCAGCAGUGAGGAAUAUUGGUCAAUGGACGAGAGUCUGAACCAGCCAAGUAGCGUGAAGGAUGACUGCCCUAUGGGUUGUAAACUUCUUUUAUAAAGGAAUAAAACGAGGCACGUGUGCCUUUUUGCAUGUACUUUAUGACUAAGGAUCGGCUAACUCCGUGCCAGCAGCCGCGGUAAUACGGAGGAUCCGAGCGUUAUCCGGAUUUAUUGGGUUUAAAGGGAGCGUAGAUGGGUUGUUAAGUCAGUUGUGAAAGUUUGCGGCUCAACCGUAAAAUUGCAAUUGAUACUGGAAGUCUUGAGUACAGUUGAGGUAGGCGGAAUUCGUGGUGUAGCGGUGAAAUGCUUAGAUAUCACGAAGAACCCCGAUUGCGAAGGCAGCUUACUAACCUGUGACUGACAUUGAUGCUCGAAAGUGUGGGUAUCAAACAGGAUUAGAUACCCCUGUAGUC
rnacentral:rRNA from 1 species